rnacentral:ncRNA from 1 species
UGACCUCGGAUCAGACGUGAUUACCCGCUGAAUUUAAGCAUAUUAUUAAGCGGAGGAAAAGAAACUAACAAGGAUUCCCUAGUAACGGCGAGUGAACGGGGAAGAGCCCAACACCGAAUCCCUUGGCGCAAGUCAACGGGAAAUGUGGUGUUAAGGUAGCCCUUCGUGUCAGUCUAGGCGUCUCAAGUCCACCUGAUUGUGGCUCAAGCCCAGAGAGGGUGUAAGGCCCGUAGAGACGCUCCGACUGAUUCCUGGGGUUUACCUACGAGUCGGCUUGUUUGGGAAUGCAGGCCAAAGCGGGUGGUAAACUCCAUCCAAGGCUAAAUACUGGCACGAGUCCGAUAGCGGACAAGUACCGUGAG